rnacentral:tRNA from 1 species
AGCGCAUGCUUCGCAUGUAUGAGGUCCCGGGUUCAAUCCCCGGCAUCUCCA